GCCUUCUUAGCUCAGUGGUAGAGCGUUGGUCUCGUAAACCAAAGGUCGAGAGUUCAAUCCUUUCAGAAGGCA
rnacentral:tRNA from 1 species